GGCGACCGGGUGAGUAACACGUGACUAACCUACCUCCGAGUGGGGAAUAACUCCGGGAAACCGGGGCUAAUACCGCAUAACAUCGCAAGAUCAAAGCAGCAAUGCGCUUGGAGAGGGGGUCGCGGCUGAUUAGCUCGUUGGCGGGGUAACGGCCCACCAAGGCGAAGAUCGGUAUCCGGCCUGAGAGGGCGCACGGACACACUGGAACUGAAACACGGUCCAGACUCCUACGGGAGGCAGCAGUGGGGAAUUUUGCGCAAUGGGGGAAACCCUGACGCAGCAACGCCGCGUGGAGGAUGAAGCCCUUUGGGGCGUAAACUCCUUUCGACUCGGAACGAUUAAUGACGGGUACGAGUUGGAAGAAGCACGGGUUAACU
rnacentral:rRNA from 1 species